ACGGAGGGUGCAAACGUUGUUCGGAAUCAUUGGGCGUAAAGAGCACGUAGGCGGCUCGUUAGGUCGGGUGUGAAAUCCCGGGGCUUAACCCCGGAAUUGCGCUCGAAACCGGCGAGCUUGAGUCCUGGAGGGAGAAGUAGAAUUCCUGGUGUAGGGGUGAAAUCCGUAGAUAUCAGGAGGAAUACCAGUGGCGAAGGCGACUUCUUGGCCAAGGACUGACGCUGAGGUGCGAAAGCGUGGGUAGCAAACAGG
rnacentral:rRNA from 1 species